GACUAUAUUAGCGAACCUUUGGAUUCUUCCAAAUUUUCAAAAGAUCCCUCUGGACUUCCAAAUCAGAUUGCUCCGACUGAUGAGGGGAAUGGACCAAUACCCAGACCUGCACCAAAACCAACAGUCACACCAACACCUGGGUCUGCCUCAAAACCGGGACCUUCACAAAAAUCUACAUCCAGACCUGCAUCAACACCCACACCAACACCUGGGUCUGCCCCAAAACCUGGACCUUCACAAAAAUCUACAUCCAGACCUGCAUCAACACCCAAACCUGCAUCAAAACCCAGACCUGUACAGAGUCCCAGACCUCCUCCAAGACCUAAAACUGCAUCAACACCCAAACCUACACCAACACGCAAACCCGCACACAGACCUGCAAGACCUGAACGUGCUCCAAGCCCGACGAUUUCUCAUAGCAGAAGUUAUAAUCAUGGGGUGGUUACUGAAGAAUGGGUCAUAAAGGGAGUGGAUAAAAGGCUCGACCUUGUACCCAGAAGAAAAAAUGAUCCACGAGGAGACAGGU